rnacentral:lncRNA from 1 species
UAGGUGCCGUUGGAUUAAAUAUAAUUAUAAAUACAGUGUAGUUAGUGAUACAUGCAGUUGUAAAUAGUAGUUACAACUAUAUGAAUCAUAUUUGGUUGGAUAUAAUAAAAAGCGCUGCAAGUAUAAAUAAUUUGUUUGGUUGUAUGCAGUUGAGAAAUAAUUUUUAAAAUUUUAUUAUUUUAUAUAUACGAUGAUGAAAUUACCUCAAAUAUAAAAAAUAAUAAUAAUAAUUUUUGUUUAAAAAAAUAUUGAGGAGGUAAAAAUAUUUUUAUUUAAAGUUACUCUAUCCAACUGCUAUAAUUGGAACUGUGGUCAAUUUGGAUAUAGUUCAAACUGCUGCAGUUGAGCCUUUUCCUGCAAUUCUAACUGUAGAAGUUUGAGUUAAAUACAUCAAACCAAACACAAAAUUUACGUUUACAUACAGUUACAACUGCAGUGCAGUUGCAACUACAUGCAACCAAACGGUCCCUUAGAGAUUCAAAUUGACCACCUAAAUACCGAAAGGCA